UGCAGAUUGGCAUAGUGGUUAAAGCAUUCAGCUGCUAACUGAAAGAUCAGUGAUUCAAACCCACCAGCUGCUC
rnacentral:tRNA from 1 species